GAGGGUGUAGUUCAGUGGUAGAGCGCACGUUUAGCAUGCGUGAGGUCCUGGGUUCAAUCCCCAGUGCCUCCA
rnacentral:tRNA from 1 species